rnacentral:rRNA from 1 species
CCUACGGGUGGCAGCAGUGAGGAAUAUUGGUCAAUGGUCGGGAGCCUGAACCAGCCAAGCCGCGUGAAGGAUGACGGUCCAACGUGUCGUAAACCUCUUUUAUAAGGGAACAAAGUCAGGCACGUGUCCCCGGCUGCAUGUACCUUACGAAAAAGCAUCGGCUAACUCCGUGCCAGCAGCCGCGGUAAUACGGAGGAUCCGAGCGUUAUCCGGAUUUAUUGGGUUUAAAGGGUGCGCAGACGGGUUGUUAAGUCAGCGGUGAAAGCCCGGGGCUCAACCCCGGCACGCCGUUGAAAAUGGGAGGCUCGAGUUGGAGAGAGGUAUGCGGAAUGCGCGGUGGAGCGGUGAAAUGCAUAGA